AUUGAACGCUGGCGGCAGGCCUAACACAUGCAAGUCGAACGGGAGGGGGAAGUGUUGGUAAUGUAUGUGCAACUGCCCGAGGGAGGGGGAUCGCUACUGGGAGCUGUAGCUACAACCGCAUUACUUCGGAUGUGCCCACAUGGGAUGAGCUAGUAGGUGGGGUAACGGCGUACAUAGGCGACGAUCCGUAGCUGGUCUGAGAGGAUGACCAGCCAAACUGGAACUGAGACACGGUCCAGACUCCUACGGGAGGCAGCAGUGGGGAAUAUUGAACAAUGGGCGCAAGCCUGAUGCAGCCAUGCCGCGUGUAUGAAGAAGGCCUUCGGGUUGUAAAGUACUUUCAGCGAGGAGGCGUUACUCGCAGAAGAAGCACCGGCUAACUCCGUGCCAGCCGCCGCGGUAAUAC
rnacentral:rRNA from 1 species